rnacentral:lncRNA from 11 species
CAGACGCAUAUAUUAUGCUGUGGGGCAUAACAGUGAGGAAAGGAGUCUGGGCAGCAAAGGAAGUUGGGGAAAGACUUGGUGGUGAGGAAGAGUCUGGGCGGCGAAGGCAAAGGGGAAAGGGUUUGGACGGUAGAACCUUGGUGGAUCGAAGACUUCUGGUGCCACGAAACACCACAACGUACAAGGCCCCACCAACACCUGUAAUAGCCCCUACUUGGGCCGCACCACGAAGACAUCAGAGGAGGACUCUCUGGAUGGGGCUGAUCUUCUUGGCACUCUUUUUUGGGAUUUCCUUAAGAUUCAUUCUCAGAGACAGGCUUGCUGCAGACAAGGAAAAAGGCAAUACUGUCGAGACAUUUUUAGAUCCUCCAAUUCAGGAAAGGCAGUACCUAUGA